AGGGGAAGGUUAAGAUCUUACAAAACAUGUUUAAUCCAGCCGUAUUUUGCGCCUGUCCCAAGCAAGGAGCCUCUUGCCUGUGCUAGUCUUGUAAAUGUUUUUAAUUUUAGUUCAUCUAAAAGUUUUGUAGUUUAGUGUGACGUGCAUCUUCACUAAACUAAUACACAUUUUGUUUAGCGACCAGCUGAAGAACGCCUCCGGGUGCAGGAGUGUCUUGUUGUGUUGUCCUCGGUGGUCCUCAGCUGUCUUUUGUCACAUUCCCCAUUUCCAUUAUCAAUUUUAUUUUAAGGAGUUUUCUAUGUUUUUCCUCGAGUUCGUUUUUUUUUUUUUUUUUUUUUUUACUCUUUUCAGACAAAGUAUACAAUUAUAGAUGAAUUUGCUAUUAUAUACUUGUCUUUUAAACCAUUUUCGUCAUAUAGUUCUUCAUCUGUUUUGGUUUUUACAUUCUAGGAUUUCGAGUAUUUGACCCUCAGUGUUCCUGUUCGAUGAAUAUAUUCCCAGAAAAAAGCUUUGGAUGUAUGCAUUUUAUGAAGUAUAUUUUUAGUUUUCAUAGCACUUGGUUGAUACCUCUGCUCGGGUGAUUUCCUACCGGGUAUAUAUAAAUUGAAACUAAACACUUUUUAUUUCAUUUCCUCAAAAGUUUACCUGCUGUUCUUAA
rnacentral:lncRNA from 1 species